rnacentral:rRNA from 1 species
GAUGAACGCUGGCGGCGUGCUUAACACAUGCAAGUCGAACGGAAAGGCUCCUGCUUGCAGGGGUACUCGAGUGGCGAACGGGUGAGUAACACGUGGGUGAUCUGCCCUGCACUUCGGGAUAAGCCUGGGAAACUGGGUCUAAUGCCGGAUAGGACGAUGGUUUGGAUGCCAUUGUGGAAAGUUUUUUCGGUGUGGGAUGAGCUCGCGGCCUAUCAGCUUGUUGGUGGGGUAAUGGCCUACCAAGGCGUCGACGGGUAGCCGGCCUGAGAGGGUGUACGGCCACAUUGGGACUGAGAUACGGCCCAGACUCCUACGGGAGGCAGCAGUGGGGAAUAUUGCACAAUGGGCGCAAGCCUGAUGCAGCGACGCCGCGUGGGGGAUGACGGCCUUCGGGUUGUAAACUCCUUUCGCUAGGGACGAAGCGCAAGUGACGGUACCUGGAGAAGAAGCACCGGCUAACUACGUG